CGCCCGCCCGGCGCCCUCGGGCUGGAAGGCUGCAGCCCCUGCCCGGCGGGCCCGGCGGGAGCGGGCAGGAGCGUGGGCGGGUGCGCCGGGACUGCUGGACGGCCGGGUCCAGCCUGCGGGGUCUACCUCCUAGAAAAUUAUUCGAAGGAACAUGAGAAAAAGCCAGCAGGUCUGAGGCAUAGAAUGGCAGUUGAACAAACACCUGUGUGGUCAAGAUCACCCUUCAGAGAAUGCCACAUACAUGAUGCCUAUGGGGCAGCAUCCAUCCAUCCACCCACAAGUAUUUAGUGCCACAGUGCACUAAGUGACUAAGGAGGGCAGCAGUGACUGGGCAGCCUACAGAUUAAGAGCCGCAUCUGUCAGAUGUGCCUGAUGAUGGGGAGGAAGCGACCGGAGCCGUGAGCCACCUCCCGUUUACAACCCAUGCAUCCCUACUCACAUCUAGCUGUUGGGAAAAAACUCGCACUGUUGUGUUGGCUACCAGACAGCUAUCGUGCUGCCGCGGCCUUUUUGAAUUAAUGCUGCCAAGUGGAGGCUCAUGGCUGAGUCCAGCCUGUCUCCUUCCUUAAUGAUUUAGAGUGGACAUUCUAGAGCAAAGGAUUCCAGAGAACUGUGUCCUUCCUUCCUUCCUUCCUUCCCUUCCUGUCUGCCUCCUGGGGACUGAACCCAGCCCCACCCCCUGCAUGCUAGGCAAGGCUCUACCACUGAGCCUCCUCCCCGGCCCUUUUUAAAAUUUUUAUUUUGAGGGGUGGGAAAGAUGGUGGACAGAGAAAGACAUCAACCCUCUGCAUGUGUAUGAUGGCACCAAUGGUGCGACUACAUGGUGUACCACCAGUUGUACCCCAUUUGUGUACAAUGAAUCAAAAUGCAUUCUGGGCUGGGGAGAUAACUCAGUUGGGUAGAGUGCUUGCCUUGCAAGCACAAGGCCCUGGAUUCAAACC